AUGGAUGGAACUGGACAGCAUCAGGGAAGGACCCGUGGACAAUCAGUGACCCAGACRGAAGGUCAACUGACCAUGUCAGAAGGGUCUUUUCUCACUAUAAACUGCCCUUAUUCAUCCAGUGGGUACGCUUACCUGUUCUGGUAURUUCAAUACCCUGGAGAAGGUCCACAGCUCCUACUGAAAGCYRUGAAGGCCAAUGAUAWGGGMAGCRAGAAAGGUUUUGAAGCCACAUACAAGAAAGAAACCACCUCCUUCCACCUAGAGAAAGCCUCUGUCCAAGAGGCAGACUCGGCUGUGUACUUCUGUGCUCUGGGUGACACAGUGGCAGAAACUGCAUGGGGAGCUGAGCACAAACUCUGUGCAGCACCCAGAGUCCUGGCUGCUAAGCAUCUGUCUCUGGGGCUCACUCUGGCUUCAGCAGCCUGGGGUGUUGCUCAGUUUCUCAGAGAAGAACAAUCAGAAUAG